AACGCAUAUUGCGCCCGAGGCCUCGGCCGAGGGCAUGCCUGCCUCAGCGUCGGUUUACCCCUUCUUCUGUCCUCGUUCAGGCGAGGCUACAGUCGGACCUGGUCGUCCAGCUGGAAACAGCGGGUCGGCUGCAGCGCAGAGAGAUGCCGGCCUUCCGUCGACAGACGCGGCCAGAUUGGUAGGUGAUCGACCACGAUUGCAUGCCCUUCUGGAAGCUAGACGGAGGGUCGGAUCCCCUCGAACCCUCGGGUUCACCCAUUCUCAGUUCGACCUGAGUUCAGGCAAGACCACCCGCUCAACUUAA
rnacentral:misc_RNA from 1 species